CUUAUGGAGAGUUUGAUCCUGGCUCAGGACGAACGCUGGCGGCAUGCCUAAUACAUGCAAGUCGA
rnacentral:rRNA from 1 species